ensembl:lncRNA
AGAUGGAGAAUGGUGUGUGUGGGAGAAUGGCAUCGGUGUGUGUCAGAAGCAUUGAAAAGAAUGCCUACCAUGUUAUGGCAUGUGUCAUUUUAGGAAGACAAUGUCACAGGUUUUUCAAGUUCUUAUCUACUGGAUCUUACAUUUUUGUCUGUGUGUUCAUCUUUCACUUGAAAAGUGAAAAAUGCAUGAAGUGAAACGAAAACGAAAGGGGAGAGCACUUCCUGCUUUCAGGCCUGUCAGUCACAUAAAAAUUAUAGAGUAAUUGGUGAACAAGGAACUACAAUACUUUUUAACAAUUAACAAUACUCUUUCCUGCAUUCAAACUGGUUUCCGACCAAAUCACAAUAUCAUUACUGUCACAGUACUUGUUGUAAAUGAUAUUGCUAAUGCACUGGAGACAAUAGAAAGUGCUGUGCCGCCAUGUUUGUAGAUUUGUCUAAAGCCUUUGACACUGUAGACCAUGCGGUACUUUUGAGUAAGCUGUCAGCAAUAGAACUGGGAUCGGAUGCCUGUCGUCUGUACAUAUAAAUACUUAUGGAUCUGGCUGGAUGAUAAAUUGUCUUUUAAAAUACAUGUUGGUGAACUCAGUAAAAGGCUAAAAAUCAAGCUAGGCUUCCUCUAUAGAAACAGAUCAUGUUUUACCUCUGCAUUUAGCAAAUAAAUUGUGCAAGCUACUUUUAUGUCAGUUGUUGAUUAUGGGGAUAUUAUCUACAUGCUGCAGCGCCCUUCUAUUACAUUUUUUUUUUUACUUCUUACUGAUGCGUAUCAAUGUAGUACAGUGCAUAUAUGCAAUAUACAUUAUUUUUGUAGUAGACAAAGCAUGCAAAAAAGUAGCCAAUCAAAUUUGAAUAAUAAAUAAAGCCAAUCACGUGUAAAUAAUUACAAACGCGUCAUUUUAAAUAUGACCAAUACAGAAAUCAUGUGCACGAGACCGACGUAUGAAAUCGCUCUGCAACUGAGACGACGAAGUAAAUGUCAUCCAAGAUUUUGAAAGCCAUCAGAUCCGCCGUGAUCCUUUGUUUCGGACCUCCACCAAGAGGACAAAAGCUUCAGCCCUUCCUGCCUCUGGUUCAGAGUCUGAAAUCACACCACGGAAGCCUGGGGAUUACCUGGAUCUCAACACAAGUGGGCUGUGGUGGGAGCAGCUUGACCGCGUGGUACGUGAGAAGUGCCCAUCAAGCCAAUCCAACUGGUGGGACGUGCUUCAGGUAGCGUGGGGUGAAAUCUCUUCAGAUUGCCACAACAAAUUGACAACUACAAUGGCAAAGGUCUGCAAGGCUGUAAUUGCUGCAAAUUGAGGAUUAUUUGAAGACAGCGACGUUUGAAGGACACAAUUAUUAUUUCAAUAAAACAAAAUAUUUCUAACCUUGUCAAUGACUGAAUAAACUGUUUAAACUCA